UACUGAGCAAGAAUAUAUCUUAAGUUUUCAGUUUCGCCCCCGUUUGGUCACCGAAAGCCGUGCCGAACUGUAAUCUUUAGCAGAUAGCAGUUCGAUUUUAUUCUCCACCUUCCGGGUGUCAGAAUGGGCUGAAACUUUAAUUCUAGCCUCAUAAAAAUAAUGCUGACCUAUCCUCCAGUUUUCAUAAUUUUCUGACACUGUGCAUUUUCUGCUAAUUUAUCUGCCCCGUUUCUCGCAGAAAAUUCUAAGUCCUCUGUUUUCGCUCCGAUUUCAGCACAGGUCAUUUCCAACCUAUAUUUUACUUCUAUGAGCCCAAUAAAAUAGUUUCCCACAUUAUUUAUAUUUAUAUUUAUUAUUCUUUUUAUAAUAAAUUCCGACACACCAUAUCGUACCGUAACUUCUUAUUUUCAGAAGUUCGGUAUCCUACAUUCUCCCCUCCUUAAAGGAGUUUCGUCCUCGAAACGAACUCAAUCUAAUCAAAAUUAAACUUCGAAUCUUAAAUCAUACCUCGCUCAAUCCUCAAAUAGGUGAGGGUGAUUUGCCUUCAUUUGAUCCUCAAGCUCCCAGGUGGCUUCGCGAUCGUCAUGAUUGCUCCACCGGACCUUGACAUAGGGGAUCUCACGAUUCCGCAGCUUUCGCACUUCUCGAGCCAAAAUCAUCACCGGAAACUCUUCAUAGCUCAUAUCUUCUUGAAGCUCCGGCGGCUUAUAUACUAGAACAUGCUCGGGAUCAUGCAUGUAUUUGCGAAGAUUGGAGACGUGGAAAACGUUGUGCACACCCGCAAGCUUCGGGGGCAAUGCAAUUCGGUAUGCCACCGUCCCAAUCCGGUCCAAGAUCUCGUAGGGGCCGAAGGGUAUACGACUAGGCUUUCCUCGCACCCCAAACUUUCAUCCAGCGCAUCGGCGAAACUUUUCAAAACAGCGUGGAUCCGCCCUCCCCGCCCCCCCCGCCCCCGCACUGCUCGGGGACUCGAAAUUCUACGGCGUUUAUUUUGAAAUAGUGGCUUUUCUGGUCGUUUGACUGCGCGUGACGCAACUUGGAGCAUAGGUGGAUUUCUCCUCCGCCAUCUCGCAAAUAGACCAAUCAACUCGUUCGCCUACAUAUCGCAAUAAUGGAGAUCGGCACUUCCGCCGUAUAGAGCCGUCGAAGUUGCUCAUGACCUACGUGCGGUGCGAUGAUAACUUUGUUUUAGAGCCGACGUCAGGCCAUCGGUAGGUGCUUAUUAACAACUACCGCUUUGUAAGUCAAUAACACACCAACUCGCAACUGUUCCUCCGAGUUCUUGGAUAGGCCUCUUGGUUUGCCCAUGGUCUAUGGAUGGAAUGAGUGCUAAACUCGAGUCGAUUGCGCGAGAUGCAAGGAGAUUCUUGCAGGCUUCCCUCCAGAAAUGUGGGUGAACUGGGGUCUCGAUCUUGAUUGACAAUCGACUUCGGACGCCCGGUGAGUUCACUAUUUCAUCAGAUAACACCUGAGCAUCUACUUCAGCUGCCAGUGUUAUGUAUCGGUUUAGAAAGUGUGCCUCAUUUUGUCAAACGAUCACAAUAACCCAUCGCAUCCGUGGCACCGACGACGAGGUAAAGCUUACUACCGAAAUCCAUCGAUCUUCCCACGGGCUUCCAGACUGGGGAUAGGGUAAUUGAAGUUUCCCUGGCUGGAAAUCGAGCUCGCCUUAACCUGUUGGCCAUAUAAGCAGUCUUGCCACAUUAAGGAUCUCCAAUAUCGCUUUUAGUCCCGGCCCUCCAUCGAAUAGAGCGAAUUCUAAACUCGUGGAAAUCUUGGUGCGCCAGGUGAUCGGAUCUAUAAGUGAACCAAUGUGACUUAGUGAUAGUAUAAGCAUCGUAAGCCUCUCGUCCGCAGGUACAAACAACGGUUCUUGACGAGAUGCACCUCAGUUCCAUAGAGAAAUUCCGCUCGCCAUCAACUAUGUUCUGACACCGUUUUGGCAGAACGGGUGUCCGCCAGUGGCAGGACUUUUAAUCUAUGUCCAGAGGGUGCUGACACAAGCAUCAACAUCGGCCGCGGAUCUCGGGGGUCUACACCUAAAGAUCUAUCACUCUCCAUUUGACAACAUAAGGAAGGCGUUGUAUUUAGGUGAACCACAAGGCCUAGGUCUUCACAGAACUUCCGGCCUAAAAGGCGCAUCCGGCAAUAUUUGUCCUUCCGCGGUGCGUAUUUUUUACGUUGUUUCAACGUUCCAUUAAUCUUUGUUGCAUCGUCAAUGCCAACCACCGCUGGUCGCAUAUUCAGUCUUCGGGGUAAAUUUAAUACUUUAAGCUUGCAAUCCGCAUGCUGCGCUAUCUUUUCCCGCCUCGCGCUAUCUUCGUGGCACUUAACACAACGCUCUUGCUAUUUGGUGUUAUUUCUAUUCGGUUCUUAUUGGCGUCUCGGCGGGAAUUGUGCGGCGGGCCUCGCGUUUCCUGGGCCCGGCGUAGUGGUCGGGUUGUUAGAUCUCCAGCUUAUGGAGACCAGUAAUAGAUAAUGCUCCAAAGCUUCAAAGCAAAGCUAUCCCGCGCAACUUCUUAAAAUCCCCGCUGAAUGGACUUCGCUCCAGGUUAGUUGUUUAUAGCUCUUCAACUGAAGCGAUGCAAUAAGCAAUCCCUUCCGACCUCUUGCAAUUCAGCCAGACCUCAUAGCCUAUGAUAGGAGAGCGACUCACUGGUAAACGAAUAGUCCUGUCCCCUCGAGUGUUGCGGGCUCUGGUGUGACCUGGGCGUGCCUCCAUUGCCGUCUAGGGGAGCCCCGGCAUCGAAUUACCUUUGCUUCAACCUUCUUCGGUCGCAUCGUCACCCCAAAACGAACUUGUGCCUUUUUGCUGAUCGAGACGGUCAGUAAGUUUGGAGUCACAUCCUAGGAGCCCUCCACGAACCGCUCGAUAAUACCUGCUAGGACACCAAAGCUACGGACGCUCCUUGCAACACAUUCUGGGCCAUCCCGGCCAAUUCUAAUAGCUUAACUUCCUCGGGACCUGUAACAGGAAACACACCCUCGGAAAUUAACUAUGCCCGACAAUGCACCUCUCUCAAGGCAAAAGCUCGCUGAUUCUUUUUCAGCCUUGCGAUUACUAUUUCUCUCUCCCGCGUAGGUUUGAAGUACCGGCGGAAAUGCCGGUGUUCUCCGUCGCUAGGCGAUAUUACAAACUGUCGUCUUAUGAGAUACGACCAACGGGGUCCAAGCCACCUUGGACCACACUCGGUUCCUUCAAGCUAUAAACUGACGAUUUCGCCGCGGCAUUUGUUGAUGCCCAAACGGCAUUCACGUGAAACUAGUAGUGUCCAUAGCGCAGGCGAAACGACGUCUUCUACAUUUCGGCUGCGGAUCUUUAUACUCGGUGAUAGCCGGACUGGAUAGGUCGAUCUUCGAUGAACUCGCGACCCUGUAGCUCGAUCCAAACAAGUCGUCAAUACGCGGUUAGGGUACAUUUUCUUCACGUGAACCUUGUUCAACUGCGCGGUAAUCACGCGUGUAAAAGAUCAUCUUAUUUGGACACAAAUAAUACGGGGCACUUCCACCGGCGAAAGGGGGGAGCGGGGCGGGCGGUGCUAUGAAUUCCUAGUCGAGGUAAGAUUCUGUAUUUGAAUUUCAACCUCUACGGCCGCGCCGAUCUCGAUAAUGGGUGCUUAAAAUCGGGCUGUCACAAUGAGGAGCCAAUGUCAAUCAUGACUCUUCCGGUCCGGGCGGCAUACCCAGGUAACUCGCGGGAAACGUCGGAAACUCACGCUAUACGACAACUCCUGGAGAGGUCGGAACCUCGCAUCAUCUCCACAACGGCGCAAAUAGCUGUGACGCCUGUUCGUGCUGCUGCGAACAACUUCUAUUGGGAUUAGUCGCGUGUACCGUCGCGGUGCGGAAGCUACGAGUUCGUUUGGCACGGUCGAUUAGCGGUGAACUUUUGACCCGGCUCCAAUUGUGAAAACUCUGAGAUCGAAGCAACUCGAUCGACACUAUUUACUUCAGAGCGCAGAUCCAUGCCGCAAUAUGACUGUCAAUUCUUAACUUUUGAGCUACCAACGUGUCGAUCAGGCAUUCACCCAGUCAUCAACUUUGCAAAUGGACAUGUCAAACUCUUAUCUUAAUCAUCUUAGUAUCGUCCCGGCGUUCUCAACAAAGCCAUACAUGCUCCCCCAGACGGUACUCGAUAUCAUGUGCUUGUGCGAAUGAUCGACUAAUAAAUGAGUGUGAUGCGCCUGUAUCAAAUAGAGCUCUCGCUCGAACACCCUUAACCAAAAUUAUACCUGCCACAACGUUGCGCUCGUCGGCCUCUGAAGGCUCCUCAAUGUGCACUGGAGCGGCAUACAUCCUUCCGCUCGGCGCCGAUCGUGCAGGCUCUGGUUGGCGUGGCGCCGCCGCUCGCCCAGUAGAUGCUGCAGGAGGGGGCAAGCCAUAGCGAGCUGGAACCGCCGGGGCCGAUGCAGUCGACAUAACGGGCGAAGCUCCUCCUUGAGGACAGUCGCGGAUGACAUGUCCCGCUUGACCGCACUUGAAGCACCUCCCUCGGCGCUGCUCACACACACCGGGCCGGUGGUCUCCGCCACAAAAGACGCAUCGCUGUGCACCACGACCCUUGGGCUGAGAGCGUGGAUACUUCGGGGGCCUCCUGGAGCUAGACUGUCCCCCCGAACCACCGCCCUGCCUCUUCUUGCCCUUGUCCUUGUCGAGCGUCUCACGGUCCUCACGCUCACAAGCGUUCCCGUGCUCGACCCAUAGUGCGCGAUCUAAUGCCUCCGCCAAAGUGUGAAACUUGAAGGCAUGCACCAAUCUGAACACUCCGGGCCGGAGUCCUCGAACAAAACAAUCCGCCCGAUCCUGCUCUGUCGCCGCCACGUCCGGGACGCAGCUCAGGAGAUGGGUGAACUCCCGCUCGUACUCCCGAACCGUGCGGUUGCCUUGCUUGAGCUUGCGGAAAUCUUCCCGCAUCUUCCUCUUGUCGCUGUCGGGGAAGUACUCAGCGAACAAUAGCCUGCGGAACUCCGCCCAAUCGAUUGGGGGAAGCUCCGGGUGUCGAUCCUGCUUGACCCGCCUCCACCACGUCCUAGCCCGCUUCUCGAAGCAAUGAGCGGCCAAGUUCACCUUGUCCCUCUCCAAGGUGAAGAUGUCCUCAAAUAAAGUCUCCAUAGCCGUCAGCCAAGACUCCACAGUCGCCGGAUCCACCACCUCUCCGUCGAAAGUAGGCGGGUGAAACUUCGUGAACCUCGUGAGCGCCACGUAGCCGCGCUCACGCUCCGCCUCCUCAGCCGCCAUCACGGGCGUAGGAGAACUCGAACUCGUCGGAGGAAUAUCCACCGGUGGGGGUUGCGCCGCCACCGGAACCGAUACGCCACCCACACCCUCGGCCGCAUCAGGGGCGCGAACCGAAGGCGCAGGCGGACCGCGGCCUAAACUUGCCGCCGCAGCCGCCGCCGCAGCCUGCUGCUCCAAUAGCUCCUGGAGCCUAUCGAACCGUCCCGUGAGCGCCGCAACCUGCGCUCUCAACUCCUGCACCUCAGUAGGCCUAGCUGGCCCUGGUGCCACUGGAGGCAUGGCUGGCUCGGGCACCUGUCGAGGUGGUGCCGAAGCGGUCCUACGCACAUAGCGUCUCUUUGGCGCCAUUAGCUCCUGAAACGCAAACAACCGGUUAAUUACUUAACCGAACACGUCAUCGAAAUUGCGAAACAUAAGCGAUUAAAUAACAUCAAUCAGGCGGUAGCUUGCAAGUGUCUUAGUUCUCGACCUUCGGCAUCGUGUUGUCGGCCGCCAACACAAUCACCUUAAGCCAAAAGCUAAUACCACUUGGAUCAUCUCUAGCCAUAACUAGAGUCUCAACACCAACUCCAAACCCAAUCAAUUAGCUUCCGCCGCGUCACAGGUUCACGUCGCACUCACGCACCUAUAACCUUAAGGCUCAUCAUCCUAGAGUCUCCUAGGUCAUCCUAGACUCUCUCUUUUGCUUGCUCUUAACUCGCUCUGAUACCACAACUGUCACGCCCCGCCCCGAGACCGCUACCAAUUUGGCUCGGUUCGGGCGCGGCGGGCGUGAGGCCGAACGGACAGAGUCUCCCCUGUCCGCCCUAGGCUCCACAACAAGAUCAUGUACACAAGUACCCAGGAAACACUUGUAAUCAUACACGAUCUACACAACAACAACGAAGAAGCACAAACAGUGCUAAUACAAACGAGAGCAAGCGAUACGAGUAAGUAACAUACAAGUAUACAAAAGAGAGAUAAACUUAACUAUUUUAAACAUAAAACUUUGAUACAUUAACCUCUUUUAACAUCAUUAAACUUUAUCCAUUUAAUACAACUUGCAUUCUACAUACAUCCUCCUCUCAAACCUCACCCUAUACAUCAUCUACUCUCAAAUGUAAACAUAGGGUAGGACUAAUGCAAUAUAGGAAGCAAACUAUCAACCGACACCGCUAGGGCGCUAUGCCCUUGCCGCGAUCCUCCCGCUCGCUGGGAAUGCUCGAACUAGUACCUGUAAUGUGGGGUGUGAGAACUAACUUCCUUAGUUCCCAGUGGGUUCGGCGCCGACUCCACCGAUCUACCCACUAGGUCUAAGCAGGCAUAGAGAGAUAUAUAUCCAAGUAUAUAUAAAACUAUGCUAAACUGAAGGCAGGUAUGGAAAACUGAUAGUGUAAGCAAGUAAGUAGAGUAUGAACAUCUAACUAUGCCUCAAUCUGAUAACAUGCAUGCAUGAACAAUAAGUAAAGGCUAUGUAAGCAACUAUCAUGAACAACAAUAAUGAGUAUGACUCAAUAGGUAACCAAAUCUCUUGUGAACUCGGGGUUCACUACAACAUCUCACGUGUAAGUCUCAUAGGGAAAAGUCUCACUGAACUAUCCCCCGAGACCGCCUGCGACAGCUAGCGGCAUCCGAGCAGCAGGCGCUGCCCCUCUAGUGACAAAACUCCGGAGUGCACAGCUUGAGGGGAGCGACCCAACAAGCGCAGACAGCGCAAUGUGAGCAUAAUCAAAUCUCACGAACAAUAGUAUCCUACCCUCUAAGGGUAAUCUCAUCAUGGAAUCAAGAUGGUUUUGUACCCAAUCUCAUAGUAUUUCUGAUUACACUAAGGUUCUCAUAUCAUAGGUUAUCAAUAAUCCAAUGCCACUCGUCAUAGUUGUCUAUCAACUAGAUGCCACUCGUCAAUUUGACUCGUUAUCAACACUAGUUUUUAUCAUACUAGGUCUUUUAUUUACUUAAACAUCAAUCAUCGCAUAUAGGGUUAACUAUCAUAUCCUUCUCAUGCAUACAAGAAUCAUGAACCAAACCACCUUAUCAUAUCAUAUUACAACUAGCAUGCAAGUAUAAGCAAUAACAUCAAUCAUUUAGCCCUAUAUGCAAUAUGUGCAAGAUGCAAUUUGAUCAUUAUAUAAGAACCUAACAUAGAAAGUAUCCCGGCUGCUUCGGAUGGUCACCACCCACCUUUUGGUAGUGCCACAAGCUCGGAAACGUGUUUCUCCGCGAUCUUUUUCGUCGCUUCAACUCGUCGGCCAAUCCAAACCCUAGAGCACUCAAAUCGGCAAUACCUCCGGCUCGCUCGUCGGAUCGACGAACCGUCUUCGCCUACGCGUUCGGGAACAUAGCAAUUAGGUUUACAGAGGGUUAAUUGAGAUCAAACCCUCUUAUUUCCAAAAUUGCAUUUUGAACCCUAGGUUUCAUCUAUUGCAAGAAUUUGCUAAAUUGAUCUAUGAUUUAGGCAACAAUCAUCUAUUUAGCAUCAUAGGAUUCCAAUAAAUCCAUUUUUUAGCAUAUAAAUAAAGCCUAAAAAUUCUACCAUUAUAGCGGUCUUGAAGUGCCUUAGGUUUCAACAAUGAGGAAAUUCAUGGUUCAAGCUUCAAAUUCGAGCUAGAACCAUCUAACUAGCUCCAAUAGGUUCCAUUCGAACCAAUUCUAAACCAUAAAACCCUAUCUUAAGGAAUCUACCAUUAUAAGGGUUUUGGAGCUUACCUCUAAAAGCUUCUCAAGGUUGAGGGAGAGGAGGAAGAAGAUUAUCUUCCUUUUCUUGGUCUUCUUCUCCUUCCUUCUUUCUUCUCUUUUUUCCUUUCUUUCCUUCUCUUUCCUUCUUCUUUCUUUCCUUCUUUCUAGAGAGAGAGAGGGAAAAGAGUGUAAGAUGGGAGAUAGAGAACACAUGAUGGAGAAGGUAUGUGCAUGUGUGUGUGUACGUAUGCAACAGCCCACUUGUGGUGCUUAACAAUGCACAAAACCCCCUCUCACACCUAUUAACACUUGCAGUUUCGCAUUCGGAACAGUCGGAGCCCUUCUGAAUGUCCUUUGCGCUCAAAUUCGACAGGCAGGCUCGGUUUAACGUACUGAGUAAGAUAUAUCUUAAGUUUUCAGUUUCGACCCGUUUGGUCACCGAAAGCCGUGCCGAACUGUAAUCUUUAGCAGAUAGCAGUUUGAUUUUAUUCUCCACCUUCCGGAUGUCAGAAUGGGCUGAAACUUUAAUUCCAGCCUCAUAAAAAUAAUUCUGACCUAUCCUCCAGUUUUCAUAAUUUUCUGACACUGUGCAUUUUGCUAACUUAUCUGUCCCACUUCUCACAGAAAAUUCUAAAUCUUCUGUUUUCGCUCCGAUUCAGCACAGGCCAUUCCAACUUUUACUUUACCUUCUAUAAGGCCAAUAAAAUAGUUUCCCACACUAUUUAUUUAUAUUUACUUUUAUAAUAAAUUCCGAACACUAUAUUCUACCGUAACUUCUAUUUUCAGAAGUUCGGUAUCCUAAACACUGCUGCUUCCUCUGCUGAGCAGGAUCGUGGCAAGGGCGUCGCGAGCUAGAGCCCUACCAGACUGAUCGAGUUAGAGGCGUCCUCCCCUUACAGCAGGUAGUGAUUUUUCUUUUGGAGCUUUUGUACAUAGCAGUUGAACUCGCCAGUGCGAGUGGUUUUGUACUUGGGAUUUGUGACUAUGUAUAAAAAGCUCGUUUACUUUAGUUAUUUCUUCUGCUCUAUACUACUGUUUGUAGUAUUGUUGUUUCUACAGGUACCAGUGACGCUUCGUAUACAGGAAAAAUUUCUUGUAUACGGCGGAUUUGUCGGCGUGCCCGGGGAACAAGACAUCCGGGGCGUGACAGC
rnacentral:lncRNA from 1 species